rnacentral:rRNA from 1 species
UACGGGGGGGGCAAGCGUUGUUCGGAAUUACUGGGCGUAAAGGGCGCGUAGGCGGUUCGCUAAGUUGGAUGUGAAAACUCUGGGCUCAACCCAGAGCCUGCAUCCAAAACUGGCGGGCUAGAGUUCUGGAGGGGGUAGCGGAAUUCCUGGUGUAGCGGUGAAAUGCGCAGAUAUCAGGAGGAACACCAAUUGCGAAGGCAGCUCGCUGGGACGUAACUGACGCUGAGACGCGAAAGCGUGGGGAGCAAACAGG